rnacentral:ncRNA from 1 species
CAAAGGCUUGGUCCUGACUUUAACAUCAAUUUUGGUCUAAUUUACACAUGCAAGUUUCCGCGUCCCCGUGAGAAUGCCCUCGGUCCCCCUUGGGGGGACGAGGAGCUGGCAUCAGGCACACAUAAUGUAGCCCAAGACGCCUUGCUUAGCCACGCCCCCAAGGGGGCCCGAAGGGGUUCCGCAGUGAUAGACAUUAAGCCAUGAGUGAAAACUUGACUUAGUUAGGAUCAAGAGAACCGGUAAAACUCGUGCCAGCCACCGCGGUUAUACGAGGGGUUCGAGUUGAUGUCUGUCGGCGUAAAGAGUGAUUACAGGAGCAUGUACAACUAAAGCCGAAGGCCCCUUGGGCUGUUUUACGCAUCUGGGGGUUAUUAAGCUCUUCAACGAAGGUAGCUUUAAAAGAUUCUAUCCUCGAAUUCACGAUAGCUAAGGCACAAACUGGGAUUAGAUACCCCACUAUGCUUAGCCCUAAACUUUGAUAAUAUGGUACAGAUAUUAUCCGCCAGGGGACUACAAGCGCUAGCUUAAAACCCAAAGGACUUGGCGACACCUUAGAUCCCCCUAGAGGAGCCCGUUCUAUAACCGAUGAUCCUCGUUAAACCUCACCACUCCUUGUAAAAUCCAGCCUAUAUACCGCCGUCGUCAGCUUACCUUGUGAAGGGAUAGUAGUAAGCUCAAUGGGUAUGGCCCAGAACGUCAGGUCGAGGUGUAGCUAAUGGGGUGGGAAGAAAUGGGCUACAUUUUCUGGUUCAGAAUAUUACGGAUAAUGCUUUGAAACAAGCAUUGUGAAGGUGGAUUUAGCAGUAAAGAGAGAAGCAGAGUGUCCUCUUGAAGCUGGCUCUAAGGCACGCACACACCGCCCGUCACUCUCCUCGAAUUACGUUAGUAAUGAGUAUAUAAGCUUUUGGGUAGCUAUAAGAGGAGGUAAGUCGUAACAAGGUAAGUGUACCGGAAGGUGCACUUGGAACUAU